AAUUUUUAAGAGAUUCACAUUAUAUAUAUACCCAGCUAACUAGUGAAAUAUCACCAUUAGAAGUUGAAAUUUUUUUCCUCAAAAUCAUAGAUAUGAAAAACCUCUUGAUUAUCUUGCUUAUUUUCUCAUUUGCUUUUGGAAAUCAUGUGCCAAUGCUUGAGGCAAAAAUAAUAAAAAGGUGUGAGUUUGAUGAACCUGACUAUUGUGAUUGGAGGGGUUUCUUUUGCCAAGAAUUUUGCAUGAUUAAUUGUCCAUCAUUUACGGCAAAAGGAAUCUGUACCAAAGACAAAGUUUGUCAUUGUCAUUGUUGUCGUUAAAAUGUUAUUAUAACUAUGGAAUAUUCACUAGGUGAAUUGUUAGCUAAUAAAUCAAUUAAUAAAAUACUUC